rnacentral:pre_miRNA from 1 species
CAAAUACUCAUUCCGUCCCAUAUUAAUUGUCGUUCAAACAGAUGUAUCUAGACGUAUUUCAGUGUUAGAUACAUCCGUUUGAGCGACAAUUAAUAUGGGACGGAGGGAGUAUAUU